rnacentral:rRNA from 1 species
AGUGAACGCUGGCGGCGUGCUUAACACAUGCAAGUCGAACGAGAAGGGGCUAUAGCUUGCUAUAGUUGUCAGCUAAGUGGCGCACGGGUGAGUAAUGUAUAGGUAAUAUGCCUCUUACUAAGGGAUAACAAAUGGAAACGUUUGCUAAUACCUUAUACUCCUUAUUAACAGAAGUUAAUAAGGGAAAGAUUUAUUGGUAAGAGAUUAGCCUGUAUUGUAUCAGUUAGUUGGUGGGGUAGUGGCUUGCCAAGACUAUGACACAUAACUGGUUUGAGAGGAUGAUCAGUCACACUGGAACUGAGACACGGUCCAGACUCCUACGGGAGGCGGCAGUGGGGAAUAUUGCACAAUGGACGAAAGUCUGAUGCAGCAACGCCGCGUGGAGGAUGACACAUUUCGGUGCGUAAACUCCUUUUAUAUGAGAAGAUAAUGACGGUAUUAUAUGAAUAAGCACCGGCUAACUCCGUGCCAGCCGCCGCCGUAA